rnacentral:pre_miRNA from 1 species
CAUGCAACGGUGGGGUCCCUUGGCCUGGCCUGUGCCCUCCUGCAAUCUGGGACCACUCAGGGGAUGUCGGAGAGCUGGCUUCAGCCUGAUCUCACAGGCCAGGCUGAGGGACCCCACUGGUGCAUG